CCCUCAUCUCCACCGACCUAUCAUUCAUUUCAUAUAUUUUGCUUUCUUUUUCUUCUUUGCUGGGCGGUACUGGAGGGAAUGGAAGGGAAACAGAACAAAAAAAAAACAGAGGAAAACAGAGAGGGGGCACGAGAGAGAAACAGAGAGAGACAGAGUGAGGGAGAGAAACGAUGAGAAGGAGAGAGAGAGGGAGGACAAGAGCAAGAGCAAGAGCUCGAAAGCACGGGAGGAAGGCUCAUAGCUCAGCAUGCAUGAGUUCAAGGGAGAGGAAGAUGGAAAGUAACAAAUUGGGUAACGUUCAAAGGGAAGAAGUUUGUUUGCUCACAAUUUCAUUAUAGACGCUGAUUUGAUUAGUUAAGCUUUUUAUCUGAUUGUGUUCUUCUUGUGAAAUUGGAAGUGUUAGGUAAGUGGAAUUACGAAAUUGAAUGACAGAUUUGGGUGAAAUUAAGCCAAAAAGGAAUUUAGGUUGGAACUAAAUAGGUUAUUAGGUAGUUGAUUGUUCUUCUUCCAAAUUUGUUUGUUUUGGUUCAAUUGUACUGUUCUUGCUGUGAAGUUCGAAUUAAUAGCUAAUUAGAUUGUUUAAUUAAAUGGUGGAAGAGGAGUAUGAUAUGUAAGAGUAUAUGGGAGACCUUGAAUACAUCCUUCUUGGUAUGAAUUUAGAAGCAACGGGUUAGUUGGAUUACUAAAUUAGAGAAAUUGAUGGAACACCUUAGACCAGCACAUUUGAAUGUUUAGUGAAUUGAACUUGGAUAAAUUGAUAAUGCUGGAAAUUACUUAUGAUUACCUUGUUCUUGUUGAUUUAGUGGUUGUAUUGAGAAUUUAGUGGCUGUAUUGAGAAUUGGUUCUCUUUCAAGCUUUUGUCCGUCAUUGCUGGAACAAGAUUUUGAAUUUGGUGGUAAUGAGUUAGUGGAAUUUCCAUAUUUGAUUGAGAAGGUGAUAUGUCGAAACGAAAGAGUAGAUAGUGGAUUUCGAUAGUAUAGGGGAAUUUGGAUGAAAUUAUUGAUGUAGUCGAUUGUUUGAGCUUUGCCCUUUUCAAUUAAUAUGAUUGGGUUUUUUUUUUAUCAUUUAGUUAUUAUUGAAAUCUGACGAUAGGAAACAUAUUUUCUCUUAAUGUGAAAAAUGUACUUUCCUUAUCUUUUAAGGCUACUAGGGAUUUAGGAUGGUCUUGUCUUACUAAUUUUAGUGAAUUAGGAUUUUGUUUAAUCGUGAUGGGAUAAGCAUGCCAAGUUGGACAUUGAGGAAUGUGUUAAGGUUUAUAAGGAUUUAUUUAUUUGAUUGCUCAAGUAAUCUGUGAGUUUAAAGUUUGUUAAAGGGUGAUUCCUGGCAUAAGACAAAUCGGUAUUGAUUGGUUGUUAAUGUUGAUGGAAAUUAAAUAUGGAAUUUACUGACUUAUUUAUUUGGAAUAUAUGGUUAUCUUCUUUAGCUUUUAAUACGGUUUUGGUGUUCGUAUGUAUUUGGUCUUUAUUGAAUCUCUCAUUUACCUUGAAAUUGACAAGAGCAAUCAGGUUUGUUUAAAUAAGAAUUAUGGAGAUUGUUUUAGGUAGUUUUUGGACAUAGAUGAAAAAUGGACAUAAUGAAUAUGAGGUGUAUAUAUAUAUAUAUAUAUAUAUGAAUCGGGACUUAUUGGAAAUAAUAGGCUCUAAAGAAGAUUGUGGGAGGUAUUGGAAGUCCCUGUGAUGGUGCUAUAUUUUUAUUAUUUAAUCUAAUGCUUGCAAAUAAUAGGGCUCGUGGAGACUGAAUUCUCGCACUCUGAAGGGUUGACUCAGUGAAAUGACUUUGACAAGUUCGAUAAGCUUCCGAUUGCACAGAAGAACCACUUUUUGAUAUCGGGGAUCAGCUCGGAGAACUAGGUAGGAAUCUUAGUUAUUUAAUAGAUAUUCUUUUUGUAUAAAAGAGAUUUGAAAAUGUUACGAUCCGAAAAUUUUGUUUAGUUAUAUCACUGAUGUGAGAGUGAAAAAGAAAUCUCCGGAAAAGUGUGUAUACAUAUUAGAGUUAUGGAUUUGGUUAUAUACUUUGGAAAUGUAUAGGAAACAGGUCUUUAUGUGAA